GAAGAUUGUAUCAUGGGUUCGAAUCCCAUUUCCUCCGGCG
rnacentral:sRNA from 1 species